UUUAUUAACAUUACAUGUUCAAUCAGUGUUCAAAUCGCUCGAAAUUUUGAACACCUCGUGUUAAAAAAAAUAUACCAGGAUACCAAAUACCGGAAACAGAUAUCGGCUGGCGAUUUAGGCGGUUAAACGAAGAAUGGAUACACAUAAGAAAGAGAACUGGAGAAGGGACUUCUAUCCCAUAUGAACACGAAAGAAGAAUCGUUAGAUUAAAAUGUUUGAAUUAGGAACCGGUAGCCAAUAAUCCCAAAAAGGUCAUUUCUGCAUGCUAUAAAGUGGUGGAAAAAAGAAAGAUGUCGAAAAAAGGAUAUAUAGGCUCAUAGACAUU